rnacentral:rRNA from 1 species
CAAGACAUUUAUACCACUGCUGGUUCUCGUCCGAUCACUGAAGUUAAGCAACGUUGAGCGUGGAUAGUACUUGGAUGGGUGACCGCUUGGGAACACCACGUAACGUUGA